AGAAACGCCACAUUGAUAGCUCAC
rnacentral:siRNA from 1 species